rnacentral:lncRNA from 1 species
CUGGUCUCAAAUUUAAACAUCGUAUGGUGUUACUUCAUUGAAUAAAUGUAAAGGAAUUUCAAAAUUUGCCGUUAAAAAUUUGAAACUCUGAUCUUCUAUUGGUAUAAAUACAGUUCCAAUGUGGUGUAACUUCGAGUCAUUACAAUCCACGCGUUAUAAAAUUAUAAAUAUAAUAAGAACACUUGUUCUGAAAGGUUGAAAGGCAGGAUACAAAAAUCUAUAACACAAAAUAGAUUAAGUUAGACAUAAGUUUUCAGCAGCAAAUAUUUCAAACGGUAACAACACUCGUCAAAAAAAAAAUGACCGGAAAAAUAAAGAUAGCACACUCUUUUGUUUACGUCCCAAGUCCCAAGUCAUGAGUCUGUAAUUCAGUGGUUGUCGUUGGAUCAUGUCUGUCUCAUAUGUUUUUCAUAAACUACAUUGUUAUAAAUUAUGCCGUUAGUUUUUAUGUUAAUUUUACAUUUUUUUCAUGUCGGGGCCUUCUUUAGCUGACGGUAAAGGCUUUUCUCAUUAUUUGGCUGAUUCCUGCUCCUAACGGGUUUUCAAUAACUCCAUAGUAUCUAUCAAUUUUUGCACAUAAACUAGAGUUUAUAAUAGCUAAUAAUGCAUAAAAAACAUUUAAAUGCAGAAUGCUAUUUUAUGCCAAAUUUACAAUUCGGGUCAGUAAAUUAAUGUAGACUUAUUUACCAACGUAGACUUUUCGUUGUUUAAUUAACUUGUUUUUUAAAGAAGUAAGAAAACCAAGGCAAUCAUCAAGUUCAAGACUUAAUAUAUAUGUAUCCCUCCAAAUCUAAAAGAGUUAAUAAGGACAUUUGUUUUAAAUAUUUAUGUAUUGUUGGGCACAAGAACUAAAACCAAUUAGCAAAUAGUUUUGUUUGUAUUGCUUAAUGAUCAUUUGUUGAUGUUGGCUUUUUUUCCCUUCUGUUUCAUACUAUGAUUCUUUUUUAUCUUAUCAAUAAAAGCAUACAAAUCGUUCAUUCUAGAUAGCGCUAUCAUGCCGUCAAAUCAAUUACGACGUCGAAUGACGUCAAAUAAUAUAUGACGUAAUGAUGACGUUUUAUGAAAAAGAUAGGUAAAAAGAAAACAACAACAAAAAUAAUAACCACAUGAUGAAUAAAAUAUAUAAAAUGUAUUCAAUAAUUGAAGGAAUAGGUGUUUUUUUAGAAAUAUUACGAAAGGGAAAAAAAUAAUCGUUUUUUUUUUACUCAAAGGACAUAUAUGUCCUUCCCGCAGUAAGCCAGGGGAGGACACAUAU